rnacentral:rRNA from 1 species
UACGUAGGGUGCGAGCGUUGUCCGGAAUUAUUGGGCGUAAAGAGCUCGUAGGCGGUCUGUCGCGUCGGUCGUGAAAACUUGGGGCUUAACCCUGAGCUUGCGGUCGAUACGGGCAUGACUGGAGUUCGGCAGGGGAGACUGGAAUUCCUGGUGUAGCGGUGAAAUGCGCAGAUAUCAGGAGGAACACCAUAGUCGGAAGGCAGCUCGCUGGGACGGUACUGACGCUGAGGCGCGAAAGCGUGGGGAGCGAACAGG